rnacentral:rRNA from 1 species
UACGGGGGAUGCAAGCGUUAUCCGGAUUUAUUGGGUUUAAAGGGUGCGUAGGCUGUGAGGUAAGUCAGCGGUGAAAUGCCCCCGCUCAACGGGGUGAAGUGCCAUUGAUACUGCCUUGCUGAAAUGCGGAUGCCGUGGGAGGAAUGUGUGGUGUAGCGGUGAAAUGCAUAGAUAUCACACAGAACACCGAUUGCGAAGGCAUCUCACGAAUCCGCUAUUGACGCUGAUGCACGAAAGCGUGGGUAUCAAACAGG